rnacentral:ncRNA from 1 species
AAUAAAUUUUUUAUGAUUUAUAAAAUUUAAUUUAAAUUUAUUUUACAUGUAAAUUUUAGUGUUAAUUUUUAAUUAUUUUAAUAAUAAUUAUUAAUAUUUGCAGUAAUUAAAAUUAAAAAUUUAAGAAAUUAAGAUUUAGAAAUAUUUUGAUUAUUAACAAAUUUUGUGCCAGCAGUUGCGGUUAUACAAAAAAUAAUUUAAAUUUUAUCGGUAUAUAAUAAAUAAUUUUUAUUUAAAUUAAAUAUUAAAUUAUUAAGUGAAAUUUUAAUUUAAUUAAAAUUUAUAUUAAUUUUAUGAUUUAUUAAAUUUUAUAAAAAACUAGGAUUAGAUACCCUAUUAUUAAAAAUUAAAUUUAUAAUACUAAAAUAGUAGAUAAUAAUUUAUUGAAACUUAAAUAAUUUGGCGGUAUUUUAGUUCAUUUAGAGGAAUCUGUUUAAUAAUUGAUAAUCCACGAAUAAAUUUACUUAAUUUAUUAUUUUGUAUAUCGUUGUUAAAAAAAUAUUUUUUAAUAAAAAUAAUAUUUAAAAAUUUUUAUAUAAAAUUAAUUCAGAUCAAGAUGCAGAUUAUAAUUAAGAAUAUAAUGGAUUACAAUAAAUAAAUUUAAAUGAAUAAUAUUUUUUAAUAAAUAUUUGAAGGUGGAUUUAAAUGUAAUUUUAAUUAAUUUAUUAAAAUGAUUAUAUAUUAAAAUAUGUACAUAUUGCCCGUCGCUUUCAUUAAUAAAUUGGAAUAAGUCGUAACAAAGUAGAGGUACUGGAAAGUGUUUCUAGAAAGAA